UGUUUUUUGUUCGCCUGUGUCUUUCUCUGACUUUUUCAACCAUCCAAUAGUAAAGUUCUCUUCUUUAUUCAUUGUUCUUCGUAAUUUCAUUUAUUGCCUUUGCUUCUUUUCUUUCUUUUGCAUUCAUUUUAGAGUCAAGGUUCAUACUUUAGUUUCUUUGUUUCAAUUUUAUGAGGUUUCUGUUUCUUUCUGAAUUCUGAGGAUUGAAUUGGAUUGAAGAAGUUUUCAAGCUUAGCAUUUUUUACAAGAGAUGAAUUGUGGGUCAUUUAGGAUUGUUGUACAUGGAGGAGUACUGCUGCUGAACAAAUCAGCUUAUCAAUUGAUAGUUUCUAGUUCCUAUUUUGGAGAGUAAUAGUUUGAGGGGAAUGUGAUUGAGAGCUUCAACUCGACUGAUUUGGUAAUUGCCGUGAAGGCGGAAUGCAGGAAACUAAUUUUCUGGAAUUUAUUCCUGUCAUAAAGAGGUCUAAAGAGACAAGUUUGGCGACUCAAAAUGUGUAUAAUUGUGUAGCGGCAGGACACCGGGACAGGCUUGGUGACAUGCCCGAUAGCCUUAUUCAUCAUAUUUUGUCGUAUAUGGAAACAAGAGAUGCAGUUCGAACUUGUGCUCUAUCGAAAAGGUGGAGGUAUGUUUGGACUUCAGUUCCCUUCCUUCACUUUAGUAGCAGAUCAUUCACGCGGUUGGUUGAUUUCAAGAAGUUUGUGUUGUGGGUUCUAUCCCAUCGCGAUAAUUCCAAUGUAAAAGUUCUUAUUUACAAUCGCUUUGGGGUAGAUUAUGCGACAGAUCAGUAUCUGUUGUAUAAGGUUAUUGAAUAUGCAGCAUCUCACGGUGUCGAAGAGAUCAGAAUUAAUCUUCGGGCAAAAACCACGGGAUGUCCACCGAUUGCAAUUCCUUUGCCUCUUUUUACUUGCCAAUCCUUGAAAAAGCUCGAGUUAAAACAAUGCCAUCCUACAAAUGUCUUGUCUCUACUCAGGUUCAAAUCAUUGGACAUGUUGCAUCUGGAUCAUUUUCCAAUGUUUCCUACCGCAGCCGACUUUUCAAAUCCUUUUGCAAGUUUGGCAGAGCUUUUCGGUUUUACAACAUUGACAACUUUACAUUUAAAUGACUUCACCCUAUGUUUUACGGGAAUGGAGCGUCUUGAUCCGUUUGCUAAUUGUGUCAAUUUGAAGAAUUUGCACUUAAGUGAAAUGUGCUUUAAGUCGGAUUUGAGCCCUAAGGAUUUCGUGAUAUCAGCUCCUCAACUAUGUAACUUGAGUCUAGUGUUCAAUCGCUUUAGAUGUAAGAUUUUAGUUGCUUCGCCACAGCUUCUCAAUUUCACUUACUUGUACACUACACCUUCUGCAUUCUUUGAGUUUAGUCUUCCUUCUUUGGAUGGCUUCGCCAUUGAUAUUCAUGAAUUAGCUGGCCGAAUGGAAAAUUACCUGUGGAAGCCAAAGGAGAAGAAUUUUUAUGGUUUGGUCAAUAUGUUACGGGAACAUCAGAAAGCUGAAGCUGUUAAACUAUCCUUCGGUACAGUUGCGGUAUAGAGAAAAUCCUCUUAACAUGUUUAUAUGUCUGUGCAUAAGAACGGACAAUGUUUGUGUGGGAUCUGGAUUGCGUGCAAUUGCAAUUCCGCGCAGUUUCACACAGUAUAGGAUCUCGUCUGUGAAUAUGAGACUGGACAACUCAAUUUACACAAUAACAAACCCAGCUGUUCCUUUCGGAUUAGACGGUUGAGAUCAGUAACUGUGUGAAGCAGUUAUCGCACCAAAUCCAAAUCCGUUUGUAAGUAGAUGGAAGUCAUUGAGCUUUGAAGUGGGAUCAACAUAUAAAAUCUUUAUCGACAACCUUGACCAUUUAACUGCAUAUUUCCGCAACUGUUCUCAGCGUCAGGAUGCAGAUUUUGAGAUUGUGAAUAUUUAGAAGGAGACUUUGCACAGGAGGUUUGACAUAUGCAUUGCUGAGGUGGAAGUUGACCCAACAUUUGGAUCCUUAUGAUAUAAACAAGGAUUAUUAUUGCUUGUAUGGUUUGAGUGGGAAAGGAUUCAGAUGUAUUGUCUUAUGUGGAUAGUUGUAGUAAUAAAACAAGCUUAUAAUGAAAUAGAAAUUGAAAUACAUUACACAAAUUUGUAUGUUGACAGUCAUUUAGUGGGGGUCCUUAGUUUAAAAGGAAAAUUGAAUAUGGAUUUUUUUUGGGUUCA